rnacentral:misc_RNA from 1 species
AUUCGUUGUUUCGUUGCUGUUGGAAUAAAACCUCUCACUAAUUUGCCAUAAGGAUUAAUGAAAAUUGAACUUCCUCCUAUUAAUGGAAAAUGUUUUUAUACUACCUUUUUUAUAUAUUUUGUAAAAUACUAUGGAUUACGUGUAUGAAUAUUCAAUCAGAGUGUACAUGGAGGUAUGUAAUCAAUUAGUUAAAAGACAGAUAGAUAGAUAGACAGAUAGGUAACAGCUAUACAUUUGUAUCUCACUAAGUAAUCUUUAUCUUGUCUUUUUAAUAUAAAGUUAUAGAUAAAAUUAACAAUUUUUGACAUUAAUUGAAAAUAGAGGAAAAAGGGAGAUAAAUCUUUAAGAAUAAUGUUUUUCUUAUAUUUGCUUGCUCUUUAAAUAAGUGUUUACAUAUAAAGAGAGAUUUAAGAAAGAGAGAGAGAGAGAGAGAGAGAGAGAGAGAGAGAGAGAGAGAGAGAGAGAGAGGGAAAACCCAAUUUUACUGACAAAUAGUUUUUAGCUUUUCAAUGUAUCCUCAUUGUAAAUUAUCGUCUUUAUACUUUUCUUCCGACUUAGGAUACUUAAUUAGUUAGGAUAAAAGAGACAAAAACCUUAUAUAAUAGGAAUUCUAUUUAUAUAAAUAAUAAGACUUAUAUAAAAAGUUAAGAAAUUGCAAUUUCUGUUUCUAUUCUUAUAAUAUAUUGCCUGAGUUGACUAUACAUAAUUUAACUUUGAUUAAAUGGCGGUUUAUAUAAAAACGGCAAACAUUUAAGUAUUUAUUAUUAGGCUUAACAAACAUUUGUAUAAAUCUAGCGCUUUAAUCCUCUUCUUUAUCCUUUGAAAGACUUGUUAAAAUUGAAGUUCUGGUUGAAAGUAUUUUUUUUAUAACGAAAAAUUGUAUGGAGAAAGUAACAAUUUAUUACGUUAUUUAUAAGUGAUAGCCUUCGGGCCUAGGAAUAAUAAAAUCUUUUAAAUCUUUCAUUAAUAUUCUUAUGAAAAGCUUAUAGGUUUUUCCUUCUCAACUUUAGAAAGUCUUUUUAGAAAAAUUUCUAACAAUUAAUCACUUUAUUUCUUCUUCUUUUUUUUUAAUAGAACAUCCAUGUCAGCUAAUAUGCCAGAAAUACAAGAAAUAACAACCUAUUCACACUGCAAAAUUGGUUCAAUAUACUGGAAUAAUCCAAGAAAUACAACGUUAAAAUUGACAUUUCAAAUUCGCCGUGGAAAUUAUAAAACAUGUAUCGAAUUGAAUCCGAACUACCUUCGAAAGAUGUUCAUAGAAUAUUCAGAUGAUAAAGUUCAACGAUUUAAAAAUCGUAUAAAAUGUUUUAAAGAUGGAGAUAACCAUCGAUCAUUGAUAUAUUUUUAUCCAAAUGCUGUUUUGUCACCUUCAGUUAUUCAUAUAAAAUUUCGAAGAUAUUAAAAUAACAGUCUAUUUUUGACUUUCUAACUUUUACUUUUUUUUUUAAAUAUAACCACACAAUUCUUAUCUUUUUUACCAAAAAGAAGUUUACCUUAAAUGAAUGAGUAACAUGUGAAGAAAAACAAGAAGCUACUUAAGAAAAACCAAGAAAAUUGUAUUUUAUUAAAAAGAUAAUAGUAUUGUUAAUAAAACAUAUGUCAAUAAAUUUAUAUUUGGUAUCUUUGAAAACGACAUCUAGAGGGUAAAUCAUGAAUGAAAAGUAUAAUAAAAAAAAGAAAUAUCAUAAGAAGUGUAAAUAAUAAUUCUUUGCUGCUUACUUUAAUCGACGAUAUUUCUUUUACUGCUCUAGUAGAAUGGGAAAUUCGCAAAGAGUACUAGGUUUACCCUUUUUAUUGCGAAACCUCUACCGGUUUGAAAUGUUAUGGUUUUUUUUCUUUUCUUUUUCCAAUUGAGUAAUAACCGUGUUUACUUUUUGGUUCUUCGAUACCUGUUUUAUAGAUAUAUACAAAUCAAUCUUUAAUAAAUUGUUGAUUAACCAUCAGCCUAAGUUCUAAUUUAUUUUAAAUUAUUUAAAAGAUGAUAAAGCCAUCUAAAAUUAUAUACAAUAAAGAACCGUUACCCUCGAAUGUUUGAGCAGAAAUUAUUUAUAUAAACGGGAAGGUUGAAGAUAUCGGUUGUCAUAGGGAAAAUAGUAAAUUGACCGAAUCGCAUAAUUUUUUGUCAUCAAAGAGAAGUUUCUUGGUGAAAGCAGGGUAUUUUUUCGUUAAUGUUAUAACUGAACUAUAUUUAGCCGGUUGGAUUAGAUAUUUAACUGCUAUCAAAGACGUCACGGAAUUUCCACACGAAGAGUAUAAAUACGGUUAAUAAUUCAAGUUGAUCUCAAAACCAAAUUUACUAUCAAACAGAGAGGGUUAUAUAACCGACCAUUAACAAACUGUUUUAGACAUAUUAAUUUAUCUCAGAAUUAUGAAUAUGAUUUUUCAAUUAUUGUCUUUUCUUCUAUUUCUUCAACAAGUUCUUCUUGUUCCUAUUGGAAAUAGUUCAGAUUGUCUUGAUCCGCCUAAUUUAAAAGGAAAACUCAUUCAAUAUCGUCUAGAAAAUGAACCCUAUCCCACUACACACAGUGAAAGACAUUCGGCUAAUUUUGGCAAUCUCUUGAAGGAUAUUGGCGAAAAUUCUACUUGUCCUGCCUCUCUUAACGAAUUAAUUGAAACGCUACGAAUUAAGAAAGCUUUAUACAAAUCUUUAGGAAGUAAUAAUUUCGAUACAAAAGUUUCAACCUGCCCAACUUAUCCCGCAGUUAGUUUUAAUAAGAAUCGAUAUCCAAAGGCAAUUAAGCAAGUUAUGUGCCGUUGUACAUCUUCCGAAGGAAGUGGGUGUCUUAGAAAGAACGGGAGAACCAAUUUAAGAUUCGAGUGCGUACCUGUAGUUGCAAAAAUAUUGGUUCUAAAUAAGAUAGGCUGUAAAGGUCAUUACGCUGAAUACGUUCCGGAAUGGGAAGAACAAAGAAUCGGAUGUAGCUGUCGUGCCUCCUCACUCUUUGCUUAUAUAGGAAACAACUAAAGGUAAAAAGUCAAAAUGAAGAAAUAUUGUUUUAAUAUUUCUAGUCUUGUCAUAUACAGUAUAUAUUAAUAUUUAUGAAUAUUUAUGAUUUAUAUGUUACUCUCUCGUAAAAUGCUAUAUUUUAUUGUUAUAAUGAAUACAACUAUAAACAAAAUGUGAU